GCCGCUCUGUUGUUCAGAGUUAUUAAAUGAAAUAUCCAGUUGUAAAAGUAAAACUCUCAGAAUCUCUUCGUUAUUGUUGUCAUCCUCAGUGUUUCCCUAAGCUUCAUCGAUACAUUAAAUAAUUCCAGCCCAUCAGCGCAUCGCAACAAUUUUAAAUUUAUAUAAGGGACACAUCAUGUCUAACAAAGUAAACGGCACAGUAAAAUGGUUUAACGAAGAGAAAGGCUUCGGCUUCCUAGCUCAAGAAAAUGGCGGUGCUGACGUAUUCGUUCAUUUCCGUGCUAUCGCAUCUGAAGGUUUCAAAACUCUAGCAGAAGGCCAAAAAGUGUCUUUUGAAGUAGAGCAAGGCCAGAAAGGUCUUCAAGCUGCAAACGUUGUAGCUCUAUAAGAUUUUAUUGAUGAAAGCGGCAUCAUUAACCGCUUUCAUCUU
rnacentral:sRNA from 1 species